AGAUGCGAUCAUACCAAUGUUAAUGCACCGGAUCCCAUCAGAACUCCGCAGUUAAGCGCGCUUGGGCUAGAAUGGUACUGGGAUGGGUGACCUCCCGGGAAGUCUUAGUGUUGAACCCU
rnacentral:rRNA from 1 species